CUAUUCAUGGAAUAAAUGAAGUCGAAAAAUACGAACCACAGUUUAAAACUUAAAGAUUUUGGCGGUGUCUUAUCGAACCAGGGGAACCUGUCUCAUAACUCGAUAAUCCACGAAUACCUUACCUCUUCUAGAAUAACCAGCUUGUGUACUGCCGUCGUAAGCACACCCCUAAAAGUAAUAAGUAUGCAAUUAUGAUAAUACUCAUUUACGUCAGGUCAAAGUGCAGCUCAUGGGGAGGUGAUGAUGGGUUACACCCUUAAUAAAGACACGAACUAUGACACCAAGAGUCAUAUGAAGGUGGACUUGGACGUAUCCAUGAUUCAAAAUCACAGCGAAAACGAAUCUAAGACAUGCACACAUCGCCCGUCACUCUCGCCCAAAGGCGAGAUAAGUC
rnacentral:rRNA from 1 species